UACAUCGCGAGAUGUAAUCUGAAAGAAGCUGUCCCUGGCUCGAGGAACACGAAUCUCAUAAGGCUAACGAUAGUUGGAUGAGUUUGCCAAACAAAACAAAAUCCGUACGCUUGAUGCACAGGGCUAUUUUAAUCUUAAUAUCGAAUGUAUAUCCCUAAAAAUCGCAGU
rfam:Candidate division TM6 bacterium GW2011_GWF2_37_49 TS49_C0001, whole genome shotgun sequence.